CUUGACCCUUCUUCUUCCUCUGUUGUGCACGAUUAGAUCGACAAGUUCUUUCGAUUUCUGGAUCAAACAACAAAGAUUCAGGACUGAUUGUACCUCGCAUGCACUAACAAACAGAAGUUAGUAAUACCUGCACAAGAGAAUUAAAGUAAAAAUCCUAACAAAUAGAUUCAGAAAAAUUAGAGAAUAAACUAAACAAAGUCCCCGGCAACGGCGCCAAAAACUUGAUGUGCCAAACUGCAAGUGUACAGUUUCGCCCGGGGUUUUAAU
rnacentral:lncRNA from 1 species